AGCGUACACGGUGGAUGCCCUGGCAGUCAGAGGCGAUGAAGGACGUGCUAAUCUGCGAUAAGCGUCGGUAAGGUGAUAUGAACCGUUAUAACCGGCGAUUUCCGAAUGGGGAAACCCAGUGUGAUUCGUCACACUAUCAUUAACUGAAUCCAUAGGUUAAUGAGGCGAACCGGGGGAACUGAAACAUCUAAGUACCCCGAGGAAAAGAAAUCAACCGAGAUUCCCCCAGUAGCGGCGAGCGAACGGGGAGCAGCCCAGAGCCUGAAUCAGUGUGUGUGUUAGUGGAAGCGUCUGGAAAGGCGUGCGAUACAGGGUGACAGCCCCGUACACAAAAAUGCACAUGCUGUGAGCUCGAUGAGUAGGGCGGGACACGUGGUAUCCUGUCUGAAUAUGGGGGGACCAUCCUCCAAGGCUAAAUACUCCUGACUGACCGAUAGUGAACCAGUACCGUGAGGGAAAGGCGAAAAGAACCCCGGCGAGGGGAGUGAAAAAGAACCUGAAACCGUGUACGUACAAGCAGUGGGAGCACGCUUAGGCGUGUGACUGCGUACCUUUUGUAUAAUGGGUCAGCGACUUAUAUUCUGUAGCAAGGUUAACCGAAUAGGGGAGCCGAAGGGAAACCGAGUCUUAACUGGGCGUUAAGUUGCAGGGUAUAGACCCGAAACCCGGUGAUCUAGCCAUGGGCAGGUUGAAGGUUGGGUAACACUAACUGGAGGACCGAACCGACUAAUGUUGAAAAAUUAGCGGAUGACUUGUGGCUGGGGGUGAAAGGCCAAUCAAACCGGGAGAUAGCUGGUUCUCCCCGAAAGCUAUUUAGGUAGCGCCUCGUGAAUUCAUCUCCGGGGGUAGAGCACUGUUUCGGCAAGGGGGUCAUCCCGACUUACCAACCCGAUGCAAACUGCGAAUACCGGAGAAUGUUAUCACGGGAGACACACGGCGGGUGCUAACGUCCGUCGUGAAGAGGGAAACAACCCAGACCGCCAGCUAAGGUCCCAAAGUCAUGGUUAAGUGGGAAACGAUGUGGGAAGGCCCAGACAGCCAGGAUGUUGGCUUAGAAGCAGCCAUCAUUUAAAGAAAGCGUAAUAGCUCACUGGUCGAGUCGGCCUGCGCGGAAGAUGUAACGGGGCUAAACCAUGCACCGAAGCUGCGGCAGCGACGCUUAUGCGUUGUUGGGUAGGGGAGCGUUCUGUAAGCCUGCGAAGGUGUGCUGUGAGGCAUGCUGGAGGUAUCAGAAGUGCGAAUGCUGACAUAAGUAACGAUAAAGCGGGUGAAAAGCCCGCUCGCCGGAAGACCAAGGGUUCCUGUCCAACGUUAAUCGGGGCAGGGUGAGUCGACCCCUAAGGCGAGGCCGAAAGGCGUAGUCGAUGGGAAACAGGUUAAUAUUCCUGUACUUGGUGUUACUGCGAAGGGGGGACGGAGAAGGCUAUGUUGGCCGGGCGACGGUUGUCCCGGUUUAAGCGUGUAGGCUGGUUUUCCAGGCAAAUCCGGAAAACUAAGGCUGAGGCGUGAUGACGAGGCACUACGGUGCUGAAGCAACAAAUGCCCUGCUUCCAGGAAAAGCCUCUAAGCAUCAGGUAACAUCAAAUCGUACCCCAAACCGACACAGGUGGUCAGGUAGAGAAUACCAAGGCGCUUGAGAGAACUCGGGUGAAGGAACUAGGCAAAAUGGUGCCGUAACUUCGGGAGAAGGCACGCUGAUAUGUAGGUGAAGUCCCUCGCGGAUGGAGCUGAAAUCAGUCGAAGAUACCAGCUGGCUGCAACUGUUUAUUAAAAACACAGCACUGUGCAAACACGAAAGUGGACGUAUACGGUGUGACGCCUGCCCGGUGCCGGAAGGUUAAUUGAUGGGGUUAGCGCAAGCGAAGCUCUUGAUCGAAGCCCCGGUAAACGGCGGCCGUAACUAUAACGGUCCUAAGGUAGCGAAAUUCCUUGUCGGGUAAGUUCCGACCUGCACGAAUGGCGUAAUGAUGGCCAGGCUGUCUCCACCCGAGACUCAGUGAAAUUGAACUCGCUGUGAAGAUGCAGUGUACCCGCGGCAAGACGGAAAGACCCCGUGAACCUUUACUAUAGCUUGACACUGAACAUUGAGCCUUGAUGUGUAGGAUAGGUGGGAGGCUUGGAAGUGUGGACGCCAGUCUGCAUGGAGCCGACCUUGAAAUACCACCCUUUAAUGUUUGAUGUUCUAACGUUGACCCGUAAUCCGGGUUGCGGACAGUGUCUGGUGGGUAGUUUGACUGGGGCGGUCUCCUCCUAAAGAGUAACGGAGGAGCACGAAGGUUGGCUAAUCCUGGUCGGACAUCAGGAGGUUAGUGCAAUGGCAUAAGCCAGCUUGACUGCGAGCGUGACGGCGCGAGCAGGUGCGAAAGCAGGUCAUAGUGAUCCGGUGGUUCUGAAUGGAAGGGCCAUCGCUCAACGGAUAAAAGGUACUCCGGGGAUAACAGGCUGAUACCGCCCAAGAGUUCAUAUCGACGGCGGUGUUUGGCACCUCGAUGUCGGCUCAUCACAUCCUGGGGCUGAAGUAGGUCCCAAGGGUAUGGCUGUUCGCCAUUUAAAGUGGUACGCGAGCUGGGUUUAGAACGUCGUGAGACAGUUCGGUCCCUAUCUGCCGUGGGCGCUGGAGAACUGAGGGGGGCUGCUCCUAGUACGAGAGGACCGGAGUGGACGCAUCACUGGUGUUCGGGUUGUCAUGCCAAUGGCACUGCCCGGUAGCUAAAUGCGGAAGAGAUAAGUGCUGAAAGCAUCUAAGCACGAAACUUGCCCCGAGAUGAGUUCUCCCUGACUCCUUGA
rnacentral:rRNA from 1 species